rnacentral:rRNA from 1 species
UGGGGAAUAUUGGACAAUGGGCGAAAGCCUGAUCCAGCCACGCCGCGUGAGUGAUGAAGGCCUUCGGGUCGUAAAGCUCUGUGGGGAGGGACGAACCGCCGGGUGUUCAUAGCAUCCGGCAUGACGGUACCUCCUUAGCAAGCACCGGCUAACUUCGUGCCAGCAGCCGCGGUAAUACGAAGGGUGCAAACGUUGCUCGGAAUCAUUGGGCGUAAAGCGCACGUAGGCGGCUUGGCAAGUCGGAUGUGAAAGCCCUCGGCUCAACCAAGGAAGUGCAUCCGAAACUGCUGAGCUUGAGUACUUAAGAGGAUCGCGGAAUUCCCGGUGUAGAGGUGAAAUUCGUAGAUAUCGGGAGGAACACCAGUGGCGAAGGCGGCGAUCUGGGAAGAUACUGACGCUGAGGUGCGAAAGCGUGGGGAGCAAA